UAGACCGCCUGGGGAGUACGGCCGCAAGGUUAAAACUCAAAUGAAUUGACGGGGGCCCGCACAAGCGGUGGAGCAUGUGGUUUAAUUCGAUGCAACGCGAAGAACCUUACCUGGUCUUGACAUCCACAGAAGAAUCCAGAGAUGGAUUUGUGCCUUCGGGAACUGUGAGACAGGUGCUGCAUGGCUGUCGUCAGCUCGUGUUGUGAAAUGUUGGGUUAAGUCCCGCAACGAGCGCAACCCUUAUCCUUUGUUGCCAGCG
rnacentral:rRNA from 2 species